rnacentral:rRNA from 1 species
UACGUAGGUGGCAAGCGUUGUCCGGAAUUAUUGGGCGUAAAGCGCGCGCAGACGGUCCUUUAAGUCUGAUGUGAAAGCCCACGGCUCAACUGUGGAGGGUCAUUGGAAACUGGGGGACUUGAGUGCAGGAGAGAAGAGUGGAAUUCCACGUGUAGCGGUGAAAUGCGUAGAUAUCGUCAAGAACACCUAUAGCGAAGGCAGCUUACUAGGCUGUAACUGACGCUGAGGCACGAAAGUGUGGGGAUCAAACAGG